rnacentral:misc_RNA from 1 species
GAAAUGCGAUAAGUAGUGUGAAUUGCAGAAAUCAGUGAAUCAUCGAAUCUUUGAACGCACAUUGCGCCCCUUGGUAUUCCAUGGGGCAUGCCUGUUCGAGCGUCAUUUGUACCCUCAAGCUCUGCUUGGUGUUGGGUGUUUGUCCCCGUCUCCGCGCGUGGACUCGCCCCAAAGUGAUUGGCAGCCGGCGUACUGGUCCCGGAGCGCAGCACAUGUCGCGCAAACGAGUGCCUUGGUACGGCGGCGUCCAUAAGCCCCUCUCUCACGCUCUUGACCUCGGAUCAGGUAGGGAUACCCGCUGAACUUAAGC